CAAUAUUGGUAGAGUUGAUUAGACAGAUAGAUAGAUAGGGUGCCAAUACUUGUAGAGUUGAAUAGAUAGAUAGGGUGCCAAUACUUGUAGAGUUGAUUAGAUAGAUAGAUAGAUAGAUAGAUAGAUAGGGGGCCAAUAUUGGUAGAGUUGAUUAGACAGAUAGAUAGAUAGGGUGCCAAUACUUGUAGUGUUGAAUAGAUAGAUAGGGUGCCAAUACUUGUAGAGUUGAUUAGACAGAUAGAUAAGGUGCCAAUAUUGGUAGAGUUGAUUAGACAGAUAGAUAGAUAGAUAGAUAGAUAGGGUGCCAAUACUUGUAGAGUUGAAUAGAUAGAUAAGGUGCCAAUACUUGUAGAGUUGAUUAGAUAGAUAGAUAGAUAGGGUGCCAAUACUUGUAGAGUUGAUUAGAUAGAUAGAUAGAUAGGGUGCCAAUACUUGUAGAGUUGAUUAGAUAGAUAGAUAGAUAGAUAGAUAGAUAGAUAGAUAGAUAGAUAGAGGGCCAAUACUUGUAGAGUUGAUUAGAUAGAUAGGGUGCCAAUACUUGUAGAGUUGAUUAGACAGAUAGAUAGAAAAACAUACAAUAAAUGUUUUUUUUAAAUGGCUUUAGGAAGAAAUUCUUCUCAGUUGCUUUGCAUCAUAAUUGUUUCAAAGUUUUUAUGUCAGUGGUUUUGUGUCUUAAACAUUCUGCCACUAACAAAUAAAAC
ensembl:lncRNA